rnacentral:rRNA from 1 species
CAGAUUGAACGCUGGCGGCGUGCUUAACACAUGCAAGUCGCGCGUGAAAGGACUUCGGUCCGAGUAAAGCGGCGCACGGGUGAGUAACGCGUGGAUGAUCUACCCAUGAGUUAGGAAUAACGGCUGGAAACGGUCGCUAAUACCAAAUACGCUCCGAUUUCAACUUCGGGGGAAAGGUGGCCUCUGGCUUGCAAGCUACUGCUCAUGGAUGAGUCCGCGUCCCAUUAGCUAGUUGGUGGGGUAACGGCCCACCAAGGCGACGAUGGGUAGCCGGUCUGAGAGGAUGACCGGCCACACUGGGACUGGAACACGGCCCAGACUCCUACGGGAGGCAGCAGUGGGGAAUAUUGCGCAAUGGGCGAAAGCCUGACGCAGCGACGCCGCGUGAGGGAUGAAAGGUCCUCGGAUCGUAAACCUCUGUCAGGAGGGAAGAACCGCCACGGUGCUAAUCAGCCGUGGUCUGACGGUACCUCCAAAGGAAGCACCGGCUAACUCCGUGCCAGCAGCAGC